rnacentral:lncRNA from 1 species
AGAGGAGCUCGGAUAUUGCUGGCGAGCCUUCUAUCGUUGGACGUUAAUACUAUAGGCGAGGGCCAUCCGCUGUAGGAGCUCAGUCAGAGGCUUUCCGUAGACGAAGUUCGGUUUCAUGCAAAAUUCGGCAAAGGGUCGACCGUCAGCGGAUGUCGGAUAGCGCUGGAGGGAUCCAGCUGCUGGAAUCCGUAUGCCGUAAGAGUUCGUCCGGAGUCUAUUCACUACAGGAGUUCGGUUGGAGUCCGAUCUCCGUA